rnacentral:hammerhead_ribozyme from 1 species
GCACCGCUGAUGAGACCCAACCAGGUCUAGACAGCUGUCCAGUAC